GUCAGUUGUGCAUGGAACAUUUCAACGGACGUCGUCUUGAUCUUUCUCCUCUAGAAUGGCCAUGCGGCAGGUAUAGGUAUUCACGUAUUCAGACGUUCCUGAGUAUUUUCCAGAAUACAUUGACAAGGUAAAUGGUGCAAUUCUUCAGCCAUUCCUGGACCUGCGACCAAAACCAAGCUACUUAUGGACAGUACCAGAACAAAUUAUCGAAUGAUUCUGUAGUAUCGGAGCUGUGAGUCGGGAAGCAGUUGCAGGUGAAACGUUGAAUAAAACAAAACCAGUAACUAGACAAUUCCAUAAGGCUACACGCUGUUAGACACAGACAAUACUAACUGGUGAGAAAACAUAAGGGAGUGACAUAUAAAAGGGAGGAAAUGAUAAAGGUAAUGAAGUCCAGGUGUGAAUCAUAAUGAUUAACAGGUGCGCGUAAUGAUGAGUGCCAGGUGUGCGCAAUGAUAAAUCCCAGGACCGGUGGUUAGUAUUCUGGCGACAUCAUACGUUGGAGGGGGGGAGCAGGAGAAGAUGUGACAGUAACGCCCCCCAACGUGCGGGCCCCAGCUGCAGGACGACGCCGACCAAAGGGACGACCCCGAGGAUGAGGAGUGCGGGC
rnacentral:lncRNA from 1 species